GCCAGUGUGGUGUAGUGGUUUGCGUGUUGGAUUAUGACUCUGGAGACAGUGGUUCAAUUCCCAGCUUGGCCA